rnacentral:rRNA from 1 species
AUUGAACGCUGGCGGCAUGCUUUACACAUGCAGGUCGAACGGUAGCAGGGUGCUUGCACCGCUGACGAGUGGCGAACGGGUGAGUAAUGCGUCGGAACGUACCGAGUAGUGGGGGAUAACGCAGCGAAAGUUGUGCUAAUACCGCAUACGUACUGAGGUAGAAAGUGGGGGACCUUCGGGCCUCACGCUAUUCGAGCGGCCGACGUCUGAUUAGCUAGUAGGUGAGGUAAAGGCUCACCUAGGCGACGAUCAGGAGCGGGUCUGAGAGGAUGAUCCGCCACACUGGGACUGAGACACGGCCCAGACUCCUACGGGAGGCAGCAGUGGGGAAUUUUGGACAAUGGGCGAAAGCCUGAUCCAGCCAUGCCGCGUGUCUGAAGAAGGCCUUCGGGUUGUAAAGGACUUUUGUCGGGGAGGAAAUCCCCAGCGUUAAUACCGCUGGGGGAUGACAGUACCUGAAGAAUAAGCACCGGCUAACUACGUGCCAGCCGCCGCGGUAAUAC